GGUAGCAUGGCCGAGCGGUCUAAGGCGCUGGUUUAAGGCACCAGUCAUUUCAGAUGGCGUGGGUUCGAAUCCCACUGCUGCCA
rnacentral:tRNA from 1 species